UAGAUAUAGGCUGAAUCAAGGAGCAGGUGAAUCUGGAAUUCCGAGUUAUAGGUGAAAUUCGUAGAUAUUCGAGGAACACCAGUGCGAAGCGGCUCACUGAACUGUAUUGACGCUGAGUGCGAAGCGUGGGGAGCAACAGAUUAGAUACCUGUAGUCACGCCGUAAACGAUGAUAACUAGCUGUCAGGGCACAUGGUGUUUUGGUGGCGCAGCUAACGCAUUAAGUUAUCCGCCUGGGGAGUACGGUCGCAAGAUUAAAACUCAAAGGAAUUGACGGGGGCCUGCACAAGCGGUGGAGCAUGUGGUUUAAUUCGAAGCAACGCGCAGAACCUUACCAACGUUUGACAUCCCUAUCGCGGAUCGUGGAGACACUUUCCUUCAGUUCGGCUGGAUAGGUGACAGGUGCUGCAUGGCUGUCGUCAGCUCGUGUCGUGAGAUGUUGAGUUAAGUCCCGCAACGAGCGCAACCCUCGCCUUUAGUUGCCAGCAUUUAGUUGGGUACUCUAAAGGAAAAACCGGUGAUAAGCCGGAGGAAGGUGGGGAUGACGUCAAGUCCUCAUGGCCCUUACGCGUUGGGCUACACACGUGCUACAAUGGCGACUACAGUGGGCAGCCACCUCGCGAGAGGGAGCUAAUCUCCAAAAGUCGUCUCAGUUCGGAUCGUUCUCUGCAACUCGAGAGCGUGAAGGCGGAAUCGCUAGUAAUCGCGGAUCAGCAUGCCGCGGUGAAUACGUUCCCAGGCCUUGUACACACCGCCCGUCACACCAUGGGAGUUGGAUUCACUCGAAGGCGUUGAGCUAACCGUAAGGAGGCAGGCGACCACAGUGGGUUUAGCGACUGGGGUGAAGUCGUAACAAGGUAGCCGUAGGGGAACCUGCGGCUGGAUCACCUCCUU
rnacentral:rRNA from 1 species